AUCCUUUUUGGUUCAUAAACAUGAUGAUUGUGUGUUCCCACCGUUGUGUGAUAUGUGCCUCUCUCUAAACUUUGUUAUGAUGUCAGCACAUUACCCAUCUGCUG
ensembl:snoRNA